AUGAAGCAUGUGAAACGUGAAGAGGAAGAGGUUCAGUUUGAGAGGAGAGCUACAAGGUCAUCUACAGUUAAACAAAGAGAGGCUUCUGGAAGCUCAUGCAAAAGUAGUGCAAACGCGGCUAGCAUGGAAAGCAAGGGGAAAAAGGAAGAUGCUGUUCAUCACUAUACAAGGAAAGUGAGCAAUACUGCAUCCUUAAAAGCUGACCACACUGAACCUGCUAAACGUGGAACCAACACAAAGGAGAACACACCAAAUGGAAAGAUUACUCCUGCAAAUAUCACAGAAAACAAGGCAUCAGCAACAGAGAUAAAGAUCAAUUCAAAGGCACAGCCGUCUAUGAGAAGUGGCAGCUUCGCCAAGGCAACAACAAAAGAUGCAGUUUCUCUGGUGGGUCAGAAUGUCUGUAGUUCAGCUAUCACUGAAAAGAUUGAUACUGUGUUAACAGAUUCAGAAGGAGUUAGAUCUGAAAACAAGACUGCCGUGCCGAAGUCACCCUUAUCAGUUGGUGCUAAGAUUGUUGCCAGCAAGAAGAGGAUGUUGGAAUCAGGUCUUGAUAAAAUUGCUGGAGGGUCACCAGUUGAGACAACAUCCAUGAAAAAGACGAGAAGUACUAAUCAAACCGAGUUAGAUCAAUCAAAAAAGUCCUCUCGGAAGAUGCUUACAGAGAAGAACUCCGGUUCAGACAAAAAUGAUAUUUUGACAAAACGGCAGCAUCACAGUCGAGCAGCUGAGUUGAGCAGAUCUGUUAACCCCUCUAAUAAAGAUGCCUGCAAGCUUUCACAUAAUGGAUCUGAUGUUGACGGAACUGACAUCAAUAUUACCCACAAGAGAAAUUGUAGAGGGUGCAGAGAACGUGGCGUUCCUCCUGUCCUGAUAAAACAAGAGUACUCUAGUGAAUCUGUGGAAGUUAUUGUUGUGAGAAAAGACCAGCGAAAAAGGAAACAUCCAUAA
rnacentral:rRNA from 1 species